rnacentral:rRNA from 1 species
UGGCUCAGAUUGAACGCUGGCGGCAUGCCUUACACAUGCAAGUCGAACGGCAGCACGGAGCUUGCUCUGGUGGCGAGUGGCGAACGGGUGAGUAAUAUAUCGGAACGUACCCUAGAGUGGGGGAUAACGUAGCGAAAGUUACGCUAAUACCGCAUACGAUCUAAGGAUGAAAGUGGGGGAUCGCAAGACCUCAUGCUCGUGGAGCGGCCGAUAUCUGAUUAGCUAGUUGGUAGGGUAAAAGCCUACCAAGGCAUCGAUCAGUAGCUGGUCUGAGAGGACGACCAGCCACACUGGAACUGAGACACGGUCCAGACUCCUACGGGAGGCAGCAGUGGGGAAUUUUGGACAAUGGGCGAAAGCCUGAUCCAGCAAUGCCGCGUGAGUGAAGAAGGCCUUCGGGUUGUAAAGCUCUUUUGUCAGGGAAGAAACGGUGAAAGCUAAUAUCUUUUGCUAAUGACGGUACCUGAAGAAUAAGCACCGGCUAACUACGUGCCAGCAGCCGCGGUAAUACGUAGGGUGCAAGCGUUAAUCGGAAUUACUGGGCGUAAAGCGUGCGCAGGCGGUUUUGUAAGUCUGAUGUGAAAUCCCCGGGC